rnacentral:rRNA from 1 species
CCUACGGGUGGCAGCAGUGAGGAAUAUUGGUCAAUGGACGAGAGUCUGAACCAGCCAAGUAGCGUGAAGGAUGACUGCCCUAUGGGUUGUAAACUUCUUUUAUAUGGGAAUAAAAUGUUCCACGUGUGGGAUUUUGUAUGUACCAUAUGUAUAAGGAUCGGCUAACUCCGUGCCAGCAGCCGCGGUAAUACGGAGGAUCCGAGCGUUAUCCGGAUUUAUUGGGUUUAAAGGGAGCGUAGGUGGAUUGUUAAGUCAGUUGUGAAAGUUCGCGGCUCAACCGUAAAAUUGCAGUUGAAACUGGCAGUCUUGAGUACAGUAGAGGUAGGCGGAAUGCGUGGUGUAGCGGUGAAAUGCUUAGAUAUCACGAAGAACUCCGAUUGCGAAGGCAGUUCACUGGACUGCAACUGACACUGAGGCUCGAAAGUGUGGGUAUCAAACAGGAUUAGAUACCCCAGUAGUC